rnacentral:lncRNA from 1 species
AAAAAAUCAUUUUAAAAUUUUCAUGUUUUGCAUUGACUUUGUAAAUUUCAUAACCUCUAUUUAUAUCGUUGAUAUUGCAUCAUUUUUGGCACUUUGUCAAAUGGGGUCAUCUGAUAUAUCAAAUUGAAGGUCUCAAUAAACUCUACUUAAAAAUGAAAAUUUUAAACCUCUUUUUCAUCCCAGGCGGAAGGGUGGGGUCAUUUAGUGCAAAAAUUCAAAUUUCGCAGAUUGUAAGGUUUUCGCAUAUCAAAUGAAAGAACAUAAAGCGUACAUUUCAAAUUUCAAAUUGACGUCCCCCAAAAAUGGGUUGGAUGGGGUCAUUGAGUGCAAACAAUAGAUUUUCUUUUACUAUAGGGUCGUUGUAUAUCAAAUGAAAGGUCAUACUGUGUACAUUUGAGAUAUCAAAUUC